AUUGAACGCUGGCGGAAUGCUUUACACAUGCAAGUCGAACGAUGAACCUUAGCUUGCUAAGGGGAUUAGUGGCGAACGGGUGAGUAAUGUAUCGGAACGUAUCCAAUAAUGGGGGAUAACUAGUCGAAAGAUUAGCUAAUACCGCAUACGUCCUACGGGAGAAAGCUAGGGACCUUCGGGCCUGGCGUUAAUGGAGCGGCCGAUAUCUGAUUAGCUAGUUGGUGGGGUAAAGGCUCACCAAGGGGACGAUCAGUAGCUGGUCUGAGAGGACGACCAGCCACACUGGAACUGAGACACGGUCCAAACUCCUACGGGAGGCAGCAGGGGGGAAUUUUGGACAAUGGGCGAAAGCCUGAUCCGGCCAUUCCGCGUGAGUGAAGAAGGCCUUCGGGUUGUAAAGCUCUUUCGCAAGGGAAGAAAACUUAAGCUCUAACAUAGCUUGAGGUUGACGGUACCUUGAUAAGAAGCACCGGCUAACUACGUGCCAGCCGCCGCAGUAA
rnacentral:rRNA from 1 species